AACGCUGGCGGCAUGCCUAACACAUGCAAGUCGAACGGGAUCCUAGCUUGCUAGGUGAGAGUGGCGGACGGGUGAGUAACACGUGGGAAUCUGCCUUUUGGUUCGGGAUAACCGCGGGAAACUGCGGCUAAUACCGAAUGCCCUCGUGAGAGGAAAGAUUUAUCGCCAGAAGAGGAGCCGCGUCCGAUUAGGUAGUUGGUGGGGUAAAGGCCUACCAAGCCGACGAUCGGUAGCUGGUCUGAGAGGAUGAUCAGCCACACUGGGACUGAGAUACGGCCCAGACUCCUACGGGAGGCAGCAGGGGGGGAAUAUUGGACAAUGGGGGGCAACCCUGAUCCAGCAAUGCCGCGUGAGUGAUGAAGGCCUUAGGGUUGUAAAGCUCUUUUGCCAGGGAAGAUGAUGACUGUACCUGGAGAAUAAGCCCCGGCUAACUUCGUG
rnacentral:rRNA from 1 species